rfam:Spinacia oleracea cultivar SynViroflay scaffold47138.con0041.1, whole genome shotgun sequence.
UGUCAACAACAGGAGGCACCCAUGGGACUUACAAAAUCUCUCAAUGCCUUGGCAGUCGGUUUGGCGUUUUUGUUCGUAGCGAUGAUGCUUUUCAUCUGACGAGACGUGAAGACCAAACGCAGAUAAGAACCGUAGAUGACACGAAUUUAAAAAGCGCAGGCCCCGAGGGACCUGCGCUUU